rnacentral:misc_RNA from 1 species
GUGAAUCAUCGAAUCUUUGAACGCACAUUGCGCUUCCUGGUAUUCCGGGGAGCAUGCUCGUUUCAGAAUCAUUUAAAACUCACAAGCCUUUGCGGCGUCUGUCGCAUUGGUGCGUGGAUAUGAGCGUAUUGGCUGGCUGGAGUCAUUGACUUCCACAAAACCAAUUGCUUUAAAAUGAUUUUGUACGAACCCUCGUUUCUUUUGUGGGCUGCCAACAAUGCGACAGUUUUUAACAGUUCAUUUUCGGCCGGUACCAUGAAAAGAGCGCGGCGUGUAUUUCUACCCUCCAAACACAUGGCA